AUACGGAGGGUGCGAGCGUUAAUCGGAAUUACUGGGCGUAAAGCGCGCGUAGGCGGCUUAUUAAGUCAGAUGUGAAAUCCCCGGGCUCAACCUGGGAACUGCAUCUGAUACUGGUAAGCUAGAGUUUUGGAGAGGGAAGUAGAAUUUCAGGUGUAGCGGUGAAAUGCAUAGAGAUCUGAAGGAAUACCAGUGGCGAAGGCGACUUCCUGGCCAAAAACUGACGCUGAGGUGCGAAAGCGUGGGUAGCAAACGGGAUUAGAUACCCUAGUAGUCC
rnacentral:rRNA from 1 species